rnacentral:rRNA from 1 species
UACGUAGGGGGCAAGCGUUGUCCGGAUUUAUUGGGCGUAAAGAGCGUGUAGGCGGUUAGGUAGGUCCGUUGUGAAAACUCGAGGCUCAACCUCGAGACGCCGAUGGAAACCAUCUGACUAGAGUCCGGAAGAGGAGAGUGGAAUUCCUGGUGUAGCGGCGAAAUGCGCAGAUAUCAGGAAGAACACCCGUGGCUAAGGCGGCUCUCUGGGACGGUACUGACGCUGAGACGCGAAAGCGUGGGGAGCGAACAGG